GACACUCUGCUUUUCUUUAUCAAUCAGAAUCCUGAGGUUGGCUUGAAGCCUGUGUGGUAUAGUCCCAAAGUUUUCAUUGAAGGUGCUGAUGCAGAGACUUUUUCGGAGGGUGAGAUGGUUACAUUUAUAAAUUGGGGCAACCUCAACAUUACAAAAAUACACAAAAAUGCAGAUGGAAAAAUCAUAUCUCUUGAUGCAAAGUUGAAUUUGGAAAACAAAGACUACAAGAAAACCACUAAGAUCACUUGGCUUGCAGAGACUACACAUGCUCUUCCUAUUCCAGUAAUCUGUGUCACUUAUGAGCACUUGAUCACAAAGCCAGUGCUAGGAAAAGACGAGGACUUUAAGCAGUAUGUCAACAAGAACAGUAAGCAUGAAGAGCUAAUGCUAGGGGAUCCCUGCCUUAAGGAUUUGAAAAAAGGAGAUAUUAUACAACUCCAGAGAAGAGGAUUCUUCAUAUGUGAUCAACCUUAUGAACCUGUUAGCCCAUAUAGUUGCAAGGAAGCCCCGUGUGUUUUGAUAUACAUUCCUGAUGGGCACACAAAGGAAAUGCCAACAUCAGGGUCAAAGGAAAAGACCAAAGUAGAAGCCACAAAAAAUGAGACCUCUGCUCCUUUUAAGGAAAGACCAACACCUUCUCUGAAUAAUAAUUGUACUACAUCUGAGGAUUCCUUGGUCCUUUACAAUAGAGUGGCUGUUCAAGGAGAUGUGGUUCGUGAAUUAAAAGCCAAGAAAGCACCAAAGGAAGAUGUAGAUGCAGCUGUAAAACA
rnacentral:sRNA from 1 species